UUGAAACAGCAUACAGUGGGACUUCUCGGCUUCCGUAAUUUCUUGUGGUGAUCACUUAGCUGCUGACAUGGUGGGAUGGAGGAUUCCAGAAUGCGUCAUGACUCACUGCCAUUGUGUUUACAGACUUACAGCAUACCAUGAAGACUCUACAUUAAAGCCACUUCUUAAAGCAAAUGCCAUGUCCUACAGUGCCAUCUGCAGAGAAGCAGUUUGCACUUGACAGAAAUCAAGGUCUUCUAAGCCCCAAGUUAAAGAACUCUAUUCAGCCGGGCGCGGUGGCUUAUGCCUGUAAUCCCAGCACUUUGGAAGGCCGAGGCGGGCGGAUCAUCUGAGGUUGGGAGUUCAAGACCAGCCUGACCAACAUGGAGAAACCCCGUCUCUACUAAAAAUACAAAAUUAGCCUGGGGUGGUGACACACGCCUGUAAUUCCAGCUACUAAGGAAGGCUGAGGCAGGAGAAUUGCCUGAAUCUGGGAGGCGGAGGUUGCAGUGAGCCGAGAUCGUGCCAUUGCUCUCCAGCCUGGGCAACAAAAGCGAAACUCCAUCUCUAAAAACAAAAACAAAAACAAAAACAAAACUCCAUUCAAAAGUAAAGUAGAAACACUAUCUUGAUGCACCAAAAGACCAACUGCUCACAACUUUGGUUCCAAGGUCUGGAGAAUUUGCUGAGUCUGUGAGGCCUGGAGUUUCACAGCCAGUAUCCAAACAGGGACUAUUUCUGAUUAAUGUGUUGCUAGCAGUCUUCAUCGCUUUGUGGUAUCUAUGUGAACAGUUGUGUCCUCGCUAAGAGAGUGUCCAAUUACACGCACGGCAGGGAAAAGCAAGAGAUCAGCAGUUGACUAUGCUUUUGUCUAAGGACAGGUAAAUGGAUGCCAAGACAACAGAGAAACAGGAAUCUUUUUGUGUAGUUAUAUAUUAAUUUGUUUGCAAUAUUGGCUUGCAAAUAGAAGGCCAGAGAGAG
rnacentral:lncRNA from 1 species